rnacentral:rRNA from 1 species
AUUGAACGCUGGCGGCAGGCCUAACACAUGCAAGUCGAAUGGUAACAGGAAGAAGCUUGCUUCUUUGCUGACGAGUGGCGGCCGGGUGAGUAAUGUCUGGGAAACUGCCUGAUGGAGGGGGAUAACUACUGGAAACGGUAGCUAAUACCGCAUAACGUCGCAAGACCAAAGAGGGGGACCUUCGGGCCUCUUGCCAUCGGAUGUGCCCAGAUGGGAUUAGCUAGUAGGUGGGGUAACGGCUCACCUAGGCGACGAUCCCUAGCUGGUCUGAGAGGAUGACCAGCCACACUGGAACUGAGACACGGUCCAGACUCCUACGGGAGGCAGCAGUGGGGAAUAUUGCACAAUGGGCGCAAGCCUGAUGCAGCCAUGCCGCGUGUAUGAAGAAGGCCUUCGGGUUGUAAAGUACUUUCAGCGGGGAGGAAGGGAGUAAAGUUAAUACCUUUGCUCAUUGACGUUACCCGCAGAAGAAGCACCGGCUAACUCCGUG